rnacentral:rRNA from 1 species
CAGUCGCCGCGGGAAUACAGAGGGUGCGAGCGUUAAUCGGAUUUACUGGGCGUAAAGCGUGCGUAGGCGGCUUCUUAAGUCGGAUGUGAAAUCCCUGAGCUUAACUUAGGAAUUGCAUUCGAUACUGGGAAGCUAGAGUAUGGGAGAGGAUGGUAGAAUUCCAGGUGUAGCGGUGAAAUGCGUAGAGGUCUGGAGGAAUACCGAUGGCGAAGGCAGCCAUCUGGCCUAAUACUGACGCUGAGGUACGAAAGCAUGGGGAGCAAACAGGAUUAGAUACCCGGGUAGUCCCUGUCUCUUAUAC